GCGAACGCUGGCGGCAGGCCUAACACAUGCCAAGUCGAACGAACUCUUCGGAGUUAGUGGCGGACGGGUGAGUAACACGUGGGAACGUGCCUUUAGGUUCGGAAUAACUCAGGGAAACUUGUGCUAAUACCGAAUGUGCCCUUCGGGGGAAAGAUUUAUCGCCUUUAGAGCGGCCCGCGUCUGAUUAGCUAGUUGGUGAGGUAAAGGCUCACCAAGGCGACGAUCAGUAGCUGGUCUGAGAGGAUGAUCAGCCACAUUGGGACUGAGACACGGCCCAAACUCCUACGGGAGGCAGCAGUGGGGAAUCUUGCGCAAUGGGCGAAAGCCUGACGCAGCCAUGCCGCGUGAAUGAUGAAGGUCUUAGGAUUGUAAAAUUCUUUCACCGGGGACGAUAAUGACGGUACCCGGAGAAGAAGCCCCGGCUAACUUCGUGCCAGCAGCCGCGGUAAUACGAAGGGGGCUAGCGUUGCUCGGAAUUACUGGGCGUAAAGGGAGCGUAGGCGGACAUUUAAGUCAGGGGUGAAAUCCCGGGGCUCAACCUCGGAAUUGCCUUUGAUACUGGGUGUCUUGAGUAUGAGAGAGGUGUGUGGAACUCCGAGUGUAGAGGUGAAAUUCGUAGAUAUUCGGAAGAACACCAGUGGCGAAGGCGACACACUGGCUCAUUACUGACGCUGAGGCUCGAAAGCGUGGGAGCAAACAGGAUUAGAUACCCUGGUAG
rnacentral:rRNA from 1 species